CUUUACACCUCAAACCCACUGAAAACCCUACUUCAAACAAUAUUUAAAUAAUACCGUUUAAAUUUACAAUGUCCUCAUUUACUUUCAUUAUUUGUACCAUUUUGUUUGGCUUUGUCGUCGCACCAAAGUUCAAUCCGUAUCUUGAUAUGGUUUGUGUGGACUGCAAGGAGAAAUGUGGUGUACGCUCCACUGGCUCCAGUUGCCUUUCACUCGAUCGUGCAAGGACUUAUGCGGCAAACAUGACGCGAGCAACCAUGGACCAUUAUCACCAUCUACAAAAGUGCAUACCAAGGGAAGAAUAUUUAAUUGGUACGCUGGAGGCAGCCUAAGCUUAUGCUUGGUGUUUAAAAUUCUUUUAAUUUCAGAAUCGAAACCGGAUUUCUGCUGUACCUGGUCACCGCAACUUGGCUGUCAACUGAUCAAGCGGCAGAGUGGCACACAGCGAACCUGCGAUUCCUGCAAAAUUCUGACACAAGAUAGUCCAGAGAUUGAACUGUGUCCAUGCAGGGCAGCGCAUAUAAAACGAGGCAAAGGCCUGCUCAUCAUUAUCAUGGGAAUCAUAUAUAGGAAUUGGCCAUUUUGAGGUGUCGAAUUGUAGAACAAAGCAGCCCAUUAACAGAGCUCGCUCGAAUUUUGUUUGAAUAAAUCUGUGUACUUCCUUUUUAACAAGCAAAAGUCAUGAGGUUUUUGCUGGUUUUCAUCCUGUCUGCCUUUCUUAUGUUUACAUUUGCCUACAAUCCCUACGACUCUAUGGUUUGUCUGGAUUGCGGCGACGAGUGUGUGGUGCACAAGCGAGGAGCCAGCUGCAAAAUGGCACGCAAAAAUCUUGCCGCAUGGAAAAGUCGCAUAGGAAAAGCAGCAAUAAACACAAGCCAUCUAAUGUGCGUGCCAAAUGAUCUGCGGCUAAAGGGUAAGUUCAAGUUUAAUUUAUUAAAUUUUCCUGUUGAUCUUUCGAACUAUUUGCAGAGGUGGAUCCCGCUUUUUGCUGCCUUUGGGCCCCAGAAUUCGGCUGCCGUCUGGUGCGCUCUAUUCUGGACGAUCACAUCCACUGCAGAAGGUGCAUAAAUCCGAAGAGGAAACGCAGAGGCUAUACGCUAUGUCCCUGUAGGGGCUAUCAUGGAAGGGUGGGCAUUGGACUGGUGGUUCUACUUGUGGGUGUGAAUAUCAUGCGACAGAU
rnacentral:lncRNA from 1 species